rnacentral:rRNA from 1 species
GAUGAACGCUAGCGGCAGGCCUAAUACAUGCAAGUCGAGGGGCAGCACGAGUAGCAAUACUUGGUGGCGACCGGCGCACGGGUGCGUAACACGUAUACAAUCUGCCUUUUACGGGGGAAUAGCCCGGAGAAAUUCGGAUUAAUGCCCCAUAAUAAAUUGAAUGGCAUCAUUUGAUUUUGAAAGCUCAGGCGGUAAAAGAUGAGUAUGCGUCCUAUUAGCUAGUUGGUGAGGUAACGGCUCACCAAGGCGACGAUAGGUAGGGGAUCUGAGAGGACUACCCCCCACACUGGUACUGAGACACGGACCAGACUCCUACGGGAGGCAGCAGUAAGGAAUAUUGGUCAAUGGAGGCAACUCUGAACCAGCCAUGCCGCGUGCAGGAAGACGGUCCUAUGGAUUGUAAACUGCUUUUAUACGGGAGAAAACCCCGGUACGUGUACCGGGUUGAUAGUACUGUAAGAAUAAGGAUCGGCUAACUUCGUGCCAGCCGCCGCGGUAACAC